AAUUUCUGAAUUAUUUCCCAAUAUUAGAGCGAAGAACGCCGAGGAAAUAGAACGAGAGGAAGCGCAGUGAUCUUGGUGAAUUUCUUCGCCGGAUUCCUUCACAAUGAAAGGUUCACUGAAGGGGGGUGAUGAUGCUUCUGUGAAAGGAAGACAUAUCAAAAUAGAUUCAGACUCAGAUUCUGAAGGUUUUCUUGAAGAAAAGAGUAGAACUUCCUCAAAGGGAAGUAGUGUAAAGGGUGGUGGGAAGAUACCAUCAGAUUCCCUGAAGUCUGGUAAGAAGGUAUCCCUAGAUAGCCUAAAAUCAGGAGGGAAGGCUUCAUUCAACACUCCCAUUGGUUCAGGAGGAAAAGAUUAUAAGACUGGGAAGGCUGGAGGAAAAGGAAGCUUACCGCAUGCCCAAGCUGUAAAAGUUCCUAUAGUUGAAGUCGACCUAAAACUAGAACUGGAUCUUCCUAAAGAUGCUAAGGUGUUGAUGGAUUGUGAAGCAACGGAGAUUUUGGAAGGAAUCCAAGACCACCUUCUAGUAUUAUCCAGGGAUCCUGAGAUAAAAAUGCCCGAAUCAUUUAAUAAAGCACUGCAGCACUCCAAAUAUGGAAGCCAUUACACAGAUGUACAGUCUGUGAGACAAGUCUUAGACACCCUCAAAGUUAAUGGAGUUACAGAUGGCGAGAUAUGCAUGAUUGGGAACAUUCUACCAGAGUCUGUUGAUGAGGUUUAUGCUCUUGUACCUUCUUUGAAGGACAACAGGGAUAACAAUGAAGGACCGAUAAAAGACGUGCUGUCUAACCUGGCAAAGUAUAGAAACCCAAAGUAAUCCUUGUCAGAGCUUCAGCGUAUCAACUAGCACAAGGUAUACCAAGUGAAAAACAAUCUUAAAGGAGCACAAGUAGCCGGGUCUUCAAUUCUAUUCUGAUCUUUUUUUUUCCUUCUUUUUUUUGUGGGGAAAAACUCUGGUGGAUCUUGCAAAUCUUGAUGGAAGAAUGAUUUGCUAACUGGUUAAUUCAAGUUGAUGCCUCAGAUGAUAUAUUGUACUCCAAUGUUGUGUUUUUAUCCUCUUUGCUCUGGAAGUCGCCUUGCAAAUCUCUCUGGACCUCAAUUAUCACAUCAAGCACAUUUUCAGCGAUCAUUUGGAUCUCUUCAAAAUUAUCAUGAACCCGGAUUUGUCGGUCUCUUGGCAAUAUCUUCCUCAAAUCUCCAAUAUUAAAUUCCUGCUAGACAUGUUCGGCUGCCCUAAGUUACACUCCAUUCCUUCUGCGUGGAUGCUUCCUGCUGUCAAUCUUGCUUCCAUUGGUUUUAAUUUUCAUCAUCUUAAUCUCUUCCUUGACGGAAGGGAAUUGCCCUACUGGAUUAUGCGUUCCUUUAAAAAGCUUGGUUUUGUUUUUUAA